UACGUAGGGUGCAAGCGUUGUCCGGAAUUAUUGGGCGUAAAGAGCUCGUAGGCGGUCUGUCGCGUCUGCUGUGAAAACUCGGGGCUUAACCCCGGGCCUGCAGUGGGUACGGGCAGACUAGAGUGCGGUAGGGGAGACUGGAAUUCCUGGUGUAGCGGUGAAAUGCGCAGAUAUCAGGAGGAACACCGGUGGCGAAGGCGGGUCUAUGGGCCGUAACUGACGCUGAGGAGCGAAAGCAUGGGGAGCAAACAGG
rnacentral:rRNA from 1 species